rnacentral:lncRNA from 1 species
CCCGUCUCUCUCUGCCUCCUUCUUCUCCAGGUCCUGUAUGACGUCCAGCAGGACCUUGAUGGUGUUCUGGCUGGUCUCCAGGACCCCCUCCAUGCUGUGCAGCUGGGUCUGCAGGCUCCGGAUGUCGUGCAGGGGCCCGUUGGGGCCCAUCAGUUUCUCUGCUACCCAGGUCGGAUCCAGUUUACUCCUGGCCCCCGACACCAGCCCCCCCAGGAUCUCCUGCACCUGCCUCAGGGUGUCGGCCUGGGUGGAGGUCAGGGGCCCAACCGUGGGGCCCCCUCCAGAGCCAGAGCAGCCACGUGCCCCGGACGGGCACUGGCCAGGGGGGAGAGCUUGCUGGCUGUUGGGGGUGUUGGUCCCGGAGCAGAGCAUUUUAUGGAGGGCCCCGAGCUGAGCUCCUAGCUGAGCCUGAGCCUGGCCCAGGCAGGUGGGUCUGGAGAUGGCCUUGGUGGGCGAGGAACCCUGGUCCCCCUGGUUCCCUUUCAGAGGGACCACCAAGGGUGUUUGAGCUCUGUGUUUCAGAGAGCUGGCUCGAGGACAGGGCAGGGGUGACCCUGAACUUCCUGACCUCUCCUUCUCACUCGCCCGCCUGAGCAGGGGCGCCCGGCAGGCCGAGCCUGGGGUGCAACUCACCCCCUCUUUGCGUGGGGUGUACGGGGGAGGGGGCGGGGGUGGUGGUGGAAGUAUCCUCCUCUCCCCCCUACACUCCCACUCUAUCACCCUCUUGUCCUGAGCGCUGCAGUGUUGGGCCUGAGGUGGGGGGGUGUAGGGGGGUGCAGGGCGAAACGUGGAAGCGUAGAGGGGCACAGUUUUCGUUGGAGUUGCACAAGAUGGCGCCGUUGGAAGUGUAUGGUAGGAUUUUACCAUUGGAGACGGGGAGUUGCAGCUUUUUACAAUGGGAGAGGGAGAGGAGCAGUAUUUUAUUUGAAUAUGGGCGGAGUAGGAAGGUACUGCUGGAGGUUGGGAGGAGCAGGGUGGUACGGUCUGACAUGGGGGGUUCCCAGGUGGUAUGGUCUGAAUUAAGGAGAUGUAGGGAGGGGCAGUUUGGGCUGGGGGGUGGCAUGAUGUCACAGUUGGAGGUGGAGAUAUGAGUUGAUUUAAGGAAGAGCAGGAUAGGGCAGUUUGUGUUAGGAUGGUGCAGGGGGCUAUAUUUGGAGUUGGUGUUGGGGUGGGGCAAGUUGGGGCUGUGGAGGGGGCUAGAACAGGAUUUGGUUUUGGGUCAUGGCAAUUAGGGGCUGUAUAGGGGCUAUCGUUGGAGUUGGUGGUACGGUGGGACAAUUUGGAUUUGAGGCUGUGGUUGUAGUUAUGGCGGUGCAUGUUAGUUUGGGUGGGACAGUUUCAGUUUGUGUAGCGAGAGGUGGAGGGGUUUGAGCUUUAGAUGGAAGAACAGUUUGGGGAAGCACUGAUUUUUUCGGGGGAUAUGUACAGAUGGACCGGGGUGGGGAGGCGCAAGGCAGAACCACCAGUGGUGGUGUUUCACAAUAUGGAUGGGUGGAGGUUGGCACAGUUUUAGGUACGGAAGCAUAGAGAGGCACAGUCUGAGUUUGGGGGGUGGAGGGUUCCACAGUCGAGGGAGGUGGGGAGGCGCAGUGCUGCAUGGUGGGAGGAGGCGGGGAGGCGCAGAGACUGUCAGUUUGUGUUUGGGUGGUGCAGGGCUGCACAGUUAAGGGAGGUGGGGAGGUGCAGGGCUGCACAGUCGAGGGAGGUAGGGAGGUGCAGGGCUGCACAGUCGAGGGAGUUGGGGAGGUGCAGGGCUGCACAGUCGAGGGAGGUGGGAAGGUGCAGGGCUGCACAGUCGAGGGAGGUGGGGAGGUGCAGGGCUGCACAGUUGAGGGAGGUGGGGAGUUAGGAGGGGAGACACAGGGACUGUCUGUCUGUGUGGGAGUGGUACAGUAGGACACCUCCCUUCCCGGGUCACUGAUACCACGGUUCAUGCGCCAUCUCCUCCUCACUUGGGACAGAGUUGCACUCCCCUGGCGUUUAGAUCCCUCUCUCCCACAGGUCACAGAACCGCAGUAGCAAGGCUCUGCAGUGUGCCGAAGCCAAACUGGGUGAGGGGAAGAAGAAGAGUCACGCCUGGAAGAGUCCAUGUGAUUCCCAACAGCAGGGUGGAUAGCGUUAGCCUCAGCGUUAGCCUCGCUAGUCCUGAGGCAGUGGGGUUGGUCCACCAAUCCCUGUUUAGCCUUAGACCCAGGGCCGUUUCCAUCUAUAGAUGCAGGUUCUGAAAUGUGGUUGCGGGUAGUGUAGUACUCAUUCUUUUUAUCGUCCUGUUCGUCAUCCCCAUUCACCCCCACCGAGUCCCCCACAUUUCGGUUGCGCGUGCUGACGGCCGAGGGCGCCGGAGGCUUAGGCUUGGGCUUCUUGAGGCAGGAGGAGGUCUGGAUGGCCAUGCUGGUGCACUGCCUCCGGGAGAGAGGUAGUGUGAGGGAGCAAGGCCGUGGGGGCGAUGGUGGUGCCCAGCAGCGGCGCGUGGGCCCCGGGGUGAGCGGAUGAGGGGGCGCCCGAGCCAAAAACGCUGCCACUACCUCAAUGGUGUCUGCCAUAUCUCCUCGGACAGCCCCAACCACCGAGGCCUGGUUGGAGGACACCUCGUCCCCCAUUGACCUCUCUGUUAGCCAUCCCUGCGGGGCCAUGGGGCUUAUGGGGGUGUUCUUCCGCAGGGGGUGGGGGCUGUCACGCUCAGCGGCAGUCCUCUCGGAGCCUUUGGUUCCAGGGCCAGUGGUCCCGCUGCCGCUGCCAUCCUCCAAGUCUUUGAAGCGCACCUGGUGUGUGCGGUUGCGGCGGCGCUUGAGGCGGCUCUCGAUGUCCGGCGAGUCGCGGUUGAGCAGCACGGAGCGCACGGUCAUGGCGCCAGGCGGCUUGUCGGCUGUCUUGCUGUUGGUGUAUUGGCCAAUGAGCAAGUGAUUCGGCUCUUUGCUCACCAUGUCUCCUGUGGCGUCUUGUUCUUCCCCCCGACAUCCACAGUCCCUGCAGGCCGUUUGACGUGAUAAAAUCCUCUGUCAGAGAGUAAGGAGUAAUUCUAUUCUAUCUCAAUACAAUUUGUCUGUUGACAAUUCGUUUCUUCUCUAUGACAAUGGGAUACAUGUAUUGUCACAUUUGUUGAGCUGGAGUUCCAUCACCAAGCAGAUCUGGGGAGACAGCUGUAGCUUGUUGGUUUGAGUGAUCAUGGAGGUGAUUUGAGAUAACUGUCACACUGCAGUGCCGUCCGUCCUGCCAUCCCCCUUCUGCAGCACUCCAUAGGACUGGUCCUUUCUCGUGUGUGUGUGUGUGUGUGUGUGUGUGUGUGUGUGUAUGUGUUUCUCUGGCUAUCUGACUUCCUGAGAAAUGUAACCAAAGCCAGAAGGUUUGUACUUUGCUCAGACUAUGGAUAGAGAGAACUGUAUUCUGAGCUUUAACGUCAUAAAGUAAGUCUUCAGGGUGAACCGGAGUCUCAUAGUCCACAGAACUUCAUUUACUUAUAAUUUUCGUCCACUCAGCUUCCUGAUUUCCUUAUAAAGAGCAGUUCUAUAUAGCCGCAUUAAAAGUAUAAUAACGUCAGCACAUUAAACAUGGAGCAAGUGCCAACUUAAAGUAUGCCUCAUACAAAAUCUACAUCUAAAAGAGGACAUGUUAUUUCACAUUAAAUAAGUCAGAAGACCCAGAAGAGAGAGGUGAGCGUGAGAACAGGGCACACAGUUAUGUUGCAUGACUCCUGGAUGCACUCAGCUCCAACGUACCUCUAAUAACAUCCCAGGAGAUGGAAUCGUGACAGGGGCACUGUAUCUACCAGCGAAUAGGCACAGCUCCUCUGAAUACACCUUAUCCAUCCUUCCCAUCCCCCGAAUAUACAGGCUGGCCCUUCCUGUCCGCUUAGCAUUGUCCCAGGGGGCUGGAGGAAGAAUGGAUUGGUAAGCACUGUGUGACUCCCCAUAAUGGUCUAUCUUCCUCUCUCACAUUCUCUCCUUCACUCUCUCUCUUCCAGUACCUCUUCUCAGUGACUCAUCUUCCACUCAUUGUGCAGGAUAACAGAAUAGCC